AUGGAGGCCCAAGCCGCCAUCCUCGUCGGGCGUCCACCUCCAUCCCGCGCCUGCAACCCUGCUCUAGGGCGAGAGGAGUUCGAUCCCGAGCGCCUUCUGCCCGUCUUGUCCGCGCUGCAGCCCCGCUUUGACUUCCCACGUUUCUCCUUCCCACGCACCGGCUCCUUCUCCCUCGCGCCCGAAGCCUUGCUGCUGCCUGCGUUCACCCACCACUUGCAAGCUGACAGAGCAGGACCUUCUAGUCGUCGCUCGGCCUCGUCUAGCAGCCUCCUGCGGCCUAUCAUCGCCAUAGCCUUGAGGAGCCACCCAAGCUGCCGGCCGCUCUGGCCCUUGCACAUCACGUUUGACCCGAGGAGACCGACACCGCCGGCAAGACCAAGGAUGCCCAAACGAGUGCUCCCGAUCGAGACUUUUGUGCUGCUACGUUUUGGACACGCCCAGUCCCUCGGAAACAUCAUAUGCGCCAAGUUUCGUUUAAAGAUGGUCAACUACAGCCUAUGUGGAUUUCGCCAAGUACCACGACGUCCGUCGAUCGCCAAGUACCCCUUCGAAUACGCAAGUCCCUCGAAGGUUCACCGAUGCCAAGUAUCACACAGAAACGCCAAGUACCCCUAA
rnacentral:rRNA from 1 species